ACUCAAAGGAAUAGACGGGGGCCCGCACAAGCGGUGGAACAUGUGGUUCAAUUCGACGCAACGCGAAGAACCUUACCUGGGCUUGAACCGCACAGGACCAUCUUUGGAAACAAGGACUUCCCGCAAGGGACCUGUGUAGAGGUGCUGCAUGGCUGUCGUCAGCUCGUGCCGUGAGGUGUUGGGUUAAGUCCCGCAACGAGCGCAACCCUUACUCCUAGUUGCUAACCGCAAGGAAGCACUCUAGGAGGACUGCUCCGGAUAACGGAGAGGAAGGUGGGGAUGAGGUCAAGUCAGCAUGGCCUUUAUGUCCAGGGCUACACACGUGUUACAAUGCGCGCCACAAAGCGUCGCGAACUCGUGAGAGGGAGCUAAUCGCAAAAAAGCGCGCUCAGUUCGGAUUGCAGUCUGCAACUCGACUGCAUGAAGCCGGAAUCGCUAGUAAUGGCGUAUCAGAACGACGCCGUGAAUACGUUCCCGGGCCUUGUACACACCGCCCGU
rnacentral:rRNA from 1 species